CCUACGAGAGGCAGCAGUGAGGAAUAUUGGUCAAUGGACGCAAGUCUGAACCAGCCAUGCCGCGUGCAGGAAGACGGCUCUAUGAGUUGUAAACUGCUUUUGUACGAGGGUAAAUCCCGAUACGUGUAUUGGGUUGAAAGUAUCGUACAAAUAAGGAUCGGCUAACUCCGUGCCAGCAGCCGCGGUAAUACGGAGGAUUCAAGCGUUAUCCGGAUUUAUUGGGUUUAAAGGGUGCGUAGGCGGUUCGAUAAGUUAGAGGUGAAAUCCCGGGGCUCAACUCCGGCACUGCCUCUGAUACUGUCGGGCUAGAGUUUAGUUGCGGUAGGCGGAAUGUAUGGUGUAGCGGUGAAAUGCAUAGAGAUCAUACAGAACACCGAUUGCGAAGGCAGCUUACCAAACUACGACUGACGUUGAGGCACGAAAGCGUGGGGAGCAAACAGGAUUAGAUACCCUGGUAGUC
rnacentral:rRNA from 1 species